GGGGGCUUAGACACAGUCGCUGCUAACGACUGUUUGAAUGAUGUAAGUUAUUCGGCCCUCU
rnacentral:tRNA from 1 species